UAAAUAAAAUUAAUUAAAGCCGAUAAAGUAGAUUUCUGUUCGUUAUGUUUAUAUGUCAAAACUAAUGCAACAAUUUAUUUUUAUUUUUUGAUAAUUUAAGCGUUAAUUGCUUUUAUAAAAGAAAGAGAUGCUAGAAAGUUGUUUUAAACAGUUAGAAGAACAUGUGGGGAGUUUUAGAUAUCACCAAAAAAAAAUUUUGUGAAGUGCUGGAGUUCGUUAAAAGAUCCUCGGAUGGGUUAGAUAAAUGAGUUAAAUAUGAUUAAUAGAGAGGAGAUUUAAAAUUAAUUUGUUGCAAGUACAAAUUCUACUUCAUCGUAUUUUUAUGACAGAAUUGGGUUAGAAAUCGAACAUCUGGCGAUUUCCCGUUAUUUGCCAACUUUAAGGGUGGUAUUGAUCCUUUUUUAUCGCUUUCAAUUACGAAUAAGCGUGAUAACUCCAGUUUAAGCGUAAUAACGUUUUCGAGAUGGGGGUGAAAUAGUGACUUUCGCCGCGGUGUCUGCUUGAGCUUGAGGUGUUUAAGGGAUUCCCGAUUGUGUGAGUCACCCUAAUCCCAAUCGCAAUGAGAUGUGGAUGCUGGAGGAGGAGGAGGAGGCGAGUUUGUGUUUUAUGGGGGAGGGUGCAAUCGAAAUCGACAUAAAAUGGACCACCCCAGUUUAAAAAGGAGAAAAAUUGAGUUUCACUCAAAUCCGAAAACACAUGGCUGUAAUCGACCCGAUUGGAUUAAUAAAGGAUUCAAGUUUCGAUUUGAAUCAAAAAAAAUCACUGGAAAUCUCGUUAAAACAUACAACGAUUUUUUGUGUUUGAAAACGCGAGGCGAAUACCGUGCGGAAAAGUAUUCGAUUUGAGCCGGCGGGUUUUCUGUGUGUAUUUUCGGGUUCUGCUCUGGUUUGGAUUCGGUCGUUCGCGUUGAAAGAAGAGGGGGGCCCCGCACGCGCGCCGACUCUAAAGUGACCAAAGGAGAACGACGACACGAAAUGCUCAAAAUCGAUAACGCAAACGACGGAGACGACGCCGAUUCAAUGAUGUUGAGGACAAAGAUCAAUUUAAGAAAGAUCUUUAUCGACGUUUCUUUUGAAAUAAAUUCCGAGGAAAUCUCAUUUAAUAAUUACAAUUAUAUAAGUAAGCGAUAAGAAAGAGAUGUGGGGUUAUGUGUGUAAUAAUUUACGAGUUGAGAAACGAGAUUAGUCGUGUUGUAGUUGUCGUUAAGCGGGAUGUUGUGCAAGAAAGAAACGCGACCCUAUUAUACAAGGUUUCCGGCAAAUUACCGACCUUUUAAAACGCAACCUCCUUUUAUUAAAACCCAACCCAAUCUCCUCCUCUUUCUCGCUUUAAAAAGAGGAAAUUUAUCAUUAAACGGAAUUAAGAAAAUCAUUUUAAUUGAAGGGACUAUUUCGAUUGAUACAAUUAAGUUGGCACCCCUAAAAAUCGAAAUUCAAAUUUACUUGGUUGCUAGGUAACGCCGAUUAUAACAUAAGAAAAUGUCAAAAAUGAAAAGAAACGUUUCGUUGUACGAAUUUGGAGGUGAGAAAGGAGUUAAAGUGAAAGUUGCAGGACGAGAUCGCAUCGAAAUAAAGGGGACAAAUAUCGAGGCGGAGAUUUCACCUACUCGAGAGGCGAAAUACGAAAUUGAACCGUUAUUUCCUUUCUAAUUAAAGUGGAAAAGAAUUACCUCUUAAAACAUCGGCGGGGAUUAAUCGUUUGUAAGUUUUGGGGGCUUCGGCUUCUUUGGUUUCUUGGGCCAAAGCGAAGGCGGAGAUGAAAGUGAUUAAAAGGAGAAUCUUCAUUUUAAUUUGGACGUUUUCACUCGCACUUUUUAUAACUGACUGUCGCUUUCGCGUUUACAACCAGUCUUUUAUAGCUUUCGAAACCUCCUCGAGUGUUGUUUCGUUUAUGGUGGGGAAUUCGAGGCGUGUUGUUCUUUUUAUGGUUGCAGGAAAUCAUUUUUUUCCUAAAGAAGAUGAUAAAUAUGUAGAUGUGUUUAAAAGAAAUCAGAUUUUAUAGUUUUCGUUAAAUUCUAAGAGAUUUAGAAAG
rnacentral:lncRNA from 1 species